rnacentral:tRNA from 1 species
UAGCCUAGUGGUUAAGGCUACGGAUCGCCAAUCCGGAGACCGAGGGUUCGAUUCCCGU